UACGGGGGGAGCAAGCGUUGUUCGGAUUUACUGGGCGUAAAGGGCGCGUAGGCGGUCAGCACAAGUCAGUUGUGAAAUCUCCGGGCUUAACCCGGAAAGGUCAACUGAUACUGUGCGACUAGAGUGCGGAAGGGGCAACUGGAAUUCUCGGUGUAGCGGUGAAAUUCGUAGAUAUUCGCAAGAACACCAGUGGCGAAGGCGGCUCACUGGCCCGGUACUGACGCUGAGGUGCGAAAGCGUGGGGAGCAAACAGG
rnacentral:rRNA from 1 species